UACAGAGGGUGCAAACGUUGCUCGGAAUCACUGGGCGUAAAGGGCGUGUAGGCGGGAAGGCAAGCCAGAUGUGAAAUCCCUGGGCUCAACCCAGGAACUGCAUUUGAAACUCCCUUUCUUGAGUACCGGAGAGGAAGGUGGAAUACCUGGUGUAGAGGUGAAAUUCGUAGAUAUCAGGUGGAACACCAGUGGCGAAGGCGGCCUUCUGGACGGUAACUGACGCUGAGACGCGAAAGCGUGGGGAGCAAACAGG
rnacentral:rRNA from 1 species